rnacentral:lncRNA from 1 species
UAGUUCUUCUGAUUCUAAAUUCUAUUAUUAUUAAUAACCUAGAAAAACUUCGUCAUGAUCAAAAUGGCAAGCAAAGGAAGAUGAGCUCCUUCCUUCAUUUUAGCCGGUUCACUUCUCACCUCACGGCAAACACAGUCAUCUUCCCUUGAAAACUCUGAUUCUGCUGAAAUAUCAACAAUCACCUCAGUGCUCUCAUCAACUCACUGGACGAAGAAACAGCAAGUCAGCAACUGCUGAAUACUUAAGAGUUUUGAAAGGACAUAAAAUGAAGGUUGAAAGGGAG